rnacentral:rRNA from 1 species
UGGGGGAUAUUGCACAAUGGGCGAAAGCCUGAUGCAGCGACGCCGCGUGGGGGAUGAAGGCCUUCGGGUUGUAAACUUCUUUUGCUCUGAACAAGGCGCACCAUGGGGUGUGUUGAGUGUAGGGGUUGAUUAGCGCCGGCUAACUACGUGCCAGCAGCCGCGGUAAUACGUAGGGCGCGAGCGUUGUCCGGAAUUAUUGGGCGUAAAGGGCUUGUAGGUGGCUGGUUGCGUCUGUCGUGAAAGCUCAUGGCUUAACUGUGGGUUUGCGGUGGGUACGGGCUGGCUUGAGUGCAGUAGGUGAGGCUGGAAUUCCUGGUGUAGCGGUGGAAUGCGCAGAUAUCAGGAGGAAUACCGGUGGCGAAGGCGGGUCUCUGGGCUGUUACUGACACUGAGGAGCGAAAGCAUGGGGAGCGAACAGG